CUUGCAACCAUUUUCUCCCUAAAAAUAAAUCUCGGCAAAUCAUGGAAGCCGUUGCUACAGCAGGCGUCGAAGUUCUUGUCCAAAACCUGAUUAACUUUCUCAAGGAAGAGUACUCUCUACUUCGAGGUCUCGAGGAAGAUGCUGAACAGCUGCAGGAGACUUUGAAGAUGAUUCAAGCCUACUUGAGUGAUGCUGAGAAGAAAUCCACCACCGAAGCUGUCAAGAUUUGGUUGAGGCAACUUGAAGCUGUGGCUAUUGAUGCAGAUAAUGUCUUGGAUGAACUCAACUAUCAUUUUCUCUACAAAGAAGUGAGGAAAAUGGAUGCACCCAAGCCUAAGAAUAAGGUACUAUCAUGCUUGUCAUCCUGCAGUCGUAGUCGCAUUUCACGUUGUUGUAAAAUGGCUCAUAACAUCAAACAAAUCAAUGUGAAUUUUAAGUCUGUCAACAUCAAGGCAACACAACUUGGCCUUCAAAACAUUCUUGCGAAUGCACUUCCUGCUGUUGUUGAUACUUCCGAUGAGACUGAUUCGUUCAGUAUUGAUCCAAUCUUUAUCGGAAGAGAUGAUGAUGUGCCUAAAUUAGUUGACAUCCUCACCCAGACCCACCCAAAGGAUGAGAGACGGAUGUUCUCCAUCGUUGCUCUGGUGGGAAUGGGGGGUAUGGGGAAAACUACGUUGACUAAAAAAGUCUUUAAUCAUGAAAAGGUGAAGGCUCGAUUCGGAUCACUUAUAUGGGUUCAUGUUUCUCAAAAAUUUGAUCCAAUCAAUCUUUUUAAGAAAAUACAUUAUAAGUUGACUAAGAGGGCAACUGAUGGAGUUGAGAGUAGAGAUGAUAUCUUAGAAAAGCUUGAAGAAGCUCUCAAGGAUAAAACAUAUCUUCUUGUUCUUGAUGAUAUCUGGAAUGAAGAUGUUCACGAAUGGGAAGGCUUUAUGAACUCCAUGUCAGGAGUUACUUCCACUUUGGGAAAUGGCAUUAUCAUCACUACCAGGAGUCAAAAGGUUGCUUUAAUUGUGAACCCUCUUGAAUAUACUUUAAGUGAAUUAUCAAAUAAAGAUUGUUGGUCCAUAAUCAAAGCAAAAGCUUUUGAUGGAAAUGAAGAAGUUCCACCAGAAUUGGAGAUUAUUGGAAAAAAGAUUGCAGAAGCAUGUCGAGGUUUGCCCUUAGCUGCCAAUGUAGUUGGUGGUGUGCUUCGAAGAUGUAAGUCCGAAGAAGAGUGGCGCUCAAUCAGUGAAAAUUGUCUUUCAGAUGCAGAAGGUGCUGAAAGAAUAAAAAAGAUACUAAAAUUGAGCUUUGAUUAUUUGCCUUCGCCAUAUCUCAAGAAGUGCUUUGCGUACUGUUCAGUUUUCCCUAAAGGUUACCAAAUAUUGAAACAUGAAGUGAUUGAGCAGGGGAUGGCAGAAUGUUUUCUUCAACCGGAUGAAAGAAAUGAGAUGGAAGAUGUGGGAAGUAAGUUUUUCAAUGUUCUUCUACACAGCUCUUUGAUGCUAGUUGAAAAGCGAGAUAAGUAUGGAAAUGUAUAUAGUUGUGUGAUGCAUGAUCUUGUGCAUGAUCUUGCAUCUUAUGUUUUAUUUAAUAAUGCGGACGGCAGCACCCCAGUCCCAUACAUGUUUCUCGAAGGAGAACAAAGUCAUAUUUCAAAAGAAGUAGCAAAGAAUUUGCGUACAUUACUCUUGUCAAGUGGGACUUCCGAUAUCAUCUUCUCAGACUUCCAAUUUCUACAUAAUAUAAUUCUUGGUAGAAAUUAUGAAGAGAAGCAAUUGCCCAAUUCAAUUAGGAAGUUGAUACAUUUGAGAAAUCUUGAUAUUUCAAAUACAUCUAUUGAAGUUUUGCCGGAGUGGAUUGGUGAACUCUGUCACUUGCAAACUUUAAGAAUGUCAAGUGUCAAGGAUCAGAAACUGCCAAACACGUUGAAGUACUUGGUUGACUUGAGGCAUCUGUAUAUUCGCAAUGAUGUUGGGUUGCCUGCAGAGAUUGGGAAAUUGAGUAGUCUCCGAACACUACCUUACUUCAAAGUGGGAGAAGAGAAGGGCUAUCAUAUUGAAGAACUCGGAAAUUUGAAAAAUCUCAAUGGAGAAUUGGCUAUUACAAAUCUUGAGAGGGUGCGUGACGAGGAAGAGGCUCUGAAAGCCAAUAUAUUGCAGAAGCAAAAUUUAUCUGAAUUGCGGUUGAAAUGGGGAUGGGAUUAUUCGGAUGAAAGAAAUGAUGAGAGUGUGUUGGAAGGUCUCAAACCUCAUGCAAAUCUGAAGAAGUUGACCAUUUACGGAUACAAAGGCGAAAAAUUUCCAACGUGGUUACGAAAUGAGCCUCAAGGCUCUUGCUUACCACUUUGUAACUUGAUUGAGAUUAAACUCGAGAGGUGCUCAGAAUGUAAGGAAAUAACAUUGGGACAUUUUCCAAAUUUAAGGUCGCUCUAUGUAUGGCGAUUAGAGAGAUCAGAAUGUUUGUCAAAGAGUUUUUUCUAUAACAAUCACAAUCUCUCAUAUUUGACCAUUAACGAAUGUGAUAUGUUGGAAGCAUUACCGGAUGGGUUGGACAUCCUCAAUUCUCUGCAUAGCUUGGUUAUACAAAACUGUAGAAAUCUAAAGUCGAUUGGGAAACCAAGUUGUGGAGGAGGAGAAAAUCAAGGAAUCCUCUUUCGGCUGAGCAUUAUAGGCUGCAGAGAACUGAUGGAAUUGCCUCGCCAAAUGCUAGAGUCGUGGGCCCCUACAAUUGAGCUUCUUCACCUGGAUGGAUUAAGGAGCGUAAUGAAUCUUCCAAUGCUGAUCGACAGUCUCGCGAAAUCAUCUAGUCUCAGAGUUUUAACAAUCAGAGGCGUUCCUCAAUUGAUGUCUGCUGGAAGUGUUGAGAGUUGGGAUUUAGGUAGCUUGACGAAUUUAAGGUUGGAUGUGAGUGUGGAGUGGUCAAGGGAGAAUAGUGUUGCCAUAAAUGACACUGUGAAUGGCAUAUUGGAAGGCUGUUGCAACUCACUUACGCAGUUAACGUUAAGAGGGGUGGAAAAUUGGGAGUGGCUGCCCCAAUCAAUUCAACGUCUCACUUCUCUUGCUGUCUUAAAGUUAGAAAACAUAGGGAUAGAAGAAUUGCCGCAAUGGUUUGGAAACCUCUCAGCUCUAGAGAGGUUAUGCCUAUAUGGCUGCACAAGCUUGAGGUGCCUGCCCUCUGUAGAUACAUUGAACCCCCUCAUUAAAUUAGAAGAGUUAGAAAUUGAAAAUUGUUCGAAACUAAGUAUUGAUUCUGAGCUGCGCAACCAUCCCAAUCUCAAAAUAAAGAUUGAUGGCAACCAUAUUGUAAUCCCAUAGCAAGUAAGUAUGAUUUUUCAUAGUGUUGAUGAGAAGAUGGCUCUGUAUUUGCAAAGUUGCAACUGCUCUGUAUUUGUUGAAUCAUGGUUAUUAGAUCUAUUUUGGUUUGUUUUCCUUAUAUUUUAGUAGUACUAGUGAGAUCUGAAUUGGCUGCAGUUGCAAUCAGUUUAUGUGUGUAGCAUUUUUUCAUGACAGAUGAAAACUAAGUGAAAUUGGUGUUUUGUAUUUUGUGGUUACACUUUUCAAUCACAGUUGGAUUGUGUUAUUUUGUGAAUAGUUCCAUGGAAGCUGAGACUAGUUUUAGUUUGCUCGUUCUAUUUGUCUCAUUAUGUAUUUGGUGUUCGAUUAAUAUUACUUUUUUCAUGGAUUUAAGGUGUUUGAUUUUGCAAUUGAUUCAUCGUGUUGCUCGUGUUUCUCCCAUUGAGUAUAUAUAGCCUCUAAUUUUUGUUCAAACUGGAUGUAUAUUUCAUUGAAAACAUUAUCCAAAUGAAUGUUGAUCCAGAAUACCGAGCAGAGGUUUUCUAGUUAUACAUUUUUUUGGGAACUUGUUUUAUUCAUCUCACCCUUUUUUUAACCCUUGCUCUUCUGAUAUGCCUGUAAACUUGUGUGACCGGAAAGGUAAAAAAACAAAGAAAAAUCAUCUUGUUGUUGUUUUGUCGUUUUGCUCUUUACGAAGUUGAUGAUAUAUGGUUAUCUGAAUCAGAUUUCCUUUGAGAAGGGAAAAGAUGGGUAACCUUUCAGUUGAGUGGUGAUUUGGAGAAGAAGAUGGCUGCCUUGAAAAAAUGGUAUGUAUGAGGUAGCUCGAACGGGUAGGUAGGGCGGCUCUGGUACGAGAGUCGACUCGAAGGACCUCCGUGGAUACUAGUGUGAUUCUGGACUUGCUCAGUUUUUCCGCAACGCAGAUUUCAUUGUCGUCUGCGAUUUUUACUUCAAAGAAGAAGUUUGGAUCUUGCAGUUUGCAGAUUCCUUCAUCAUGUUGAUUUUGAUUUUCAAGUUUGAUGUCCAGAGAAAGAAGCCUAAUUUUCUUAAAGAGACGAAGUUAGACUGUGUAUUCUCAUCCGAUAUCAAUUUUUGGGUUCGUUUUGUUUCAUGUUGUGGGAAAACUUGUGUUUCGUUUGUUAAAUGAUAAAUGUGUGUACAUAUAACAUAAAUCUGAAACAUUCAAUUACUGAUCUAAUCCUAAGUUUUGUGAUUUGUUAUCA